UACGGAGGAUCCAAGCGUUAUCCGGAUUUAUUGGGUUUAAAGGGUGCGUAGGCGGCUCAUUAAGUCAGGGGUGAAAGACGGUAGCUUAACUAUCGCAGUGCCUUUGAUACUGAUGAGCUUGAAUGUAGUUGAGGUAGGCGGAAUGUGACAAGUAGCGGUGAAAUGCAUGGAUAUGUCACAGAACACCAAUUGCGAAGGCAGCUUACUAAAGUAUGAUUGACGCUGAGGCACGAAAGCGUGGGGAUCAAACAGG
rnacentral:rRNA from 1 species